rnacentral:rRNA from 1 species
CCUACGGGGGGCUGCAGUGGGGAAUAUUGGACAAUGGGGGCAACCCUGAUCCAGCCAUGCCGCGUGUGUGAAGAAGGCCCUCGGGUUGUAAAGCACUUUCAGUGAGGAAGAACGCCUGGUGGUUAAUACCCAUCAGGAAAGACAUCACUCACAGAAGAAGCACCGGCUAACUCCGUGCCAGCAACCGCGGUAAUACGGAGGGUGCGAGCGUUAAUCGGAAUUACUGGGCGUAAAGCGCGCGUAGGUGGCUUGAUAAGCCGGUUGUGAAAGCCCCGGGCUCAACCUGGGAACGGCAUCCGGAACUGUCAAGCUAGAGUGCAGGAGAGGAAGGUAGAAUUCCCGGUGUAGCGGUGAAAUGCGUAGCGAUCGGGAGGAAUACCAGUGGCGAAGGCGGCCUUCUGGACUGACACUGACACUGAGGUGCGAAAGCGUGGGUAGCAAACAGGAUUAGAUACCCCAGUAGUC